UGACAGCGCUCUGCGUACAAACUGGGCACAAACUUCGCUUAACUGUUAUUAUCAGGUUUUUCGGCGCAUUAGUUAUUCCAUGAGCAAACGCAAAACUGAGGUUGGUAAACUCUCCCUUUCCAGUCCCGAAAAGCAGCAAUGCAUCGCAAAAGACGUUCGCCAAUCGGAGGAAGCUCUACGUCAGUUGUCGAUGUUAUUUCCUGAGGAAAAAUUUCUCGGUCGCGUUCCAAGAGUGGUAAUGAAACACAUGAUCUACAGCCGUAUACCAAAUCGGACAUUGGUCGACAAGGAAAUUGAUGAAUUAAACCAAACUGGAGUCAUCAGAUUGUUUAAACUAGGAAGUGAAGAGGAAUCUCUGGCGGUCCUGUUCAUGGAACAGUAUGAAGAGCUUAUUGAAAGAAAAUGUACAGAUUUAGCAUUAGCUAAGAAAUUUAUCAUCAAGAUUCUUAAGCAAAUCAAAGAAAUCAGUGUAGAGAAAGCAGUACUUAUCAGUGCUGGUUUUACUGAAACUGAUAUUAAGUUGAACUAUAAUAAAUAAUUGCCUGUUAACUGUGAGGACAAGUACCACAUAUUGGUUUGCUUUUCCUGGAGCUGGAGAAUUCAUGAAAGUGUAUGCCAAGGGAAGGCAAAAUGUAAUCCGCUUGGUCAAGAAGUCCAAGUAUCAGCAAAUUUUACAAAAUGAACUAGGACAGCGUGAUAUGAGGAAGACUGUUCAGCUUGGUGUACAGUAUCAUAUUCAUGACAUUAUUGGAGCUGACUUAGUUAUUUGUGUGAACACUACUUCUGGUAACAUGUUACGAUUUUCCAAUUGAAACAGUCUGAGAUAUCUCUGGGUGCCUAAAGAAUGAGUGCGGCAAACGCAUCAUACAUAAUGUUUACGGCGAAAUCCUAUUUUCUACCGAUUUGUUUUCAUAUAAUUUUUUCAAAACAAGUAUUAAUACAGUAUCAACCUUCCUCACA